AUUUUGUGAACCACAAACCAUUUUUGUGCCAUUAUAUGAUUUGUGGUAUUUGCUUGAGUGAACCUGUAAGGUUUGUACCUUCUGGAAAGUGCUAGCACCUACAUAUUAUCCAAUUUUUUCUAAAUGUCAUGAGGCAUGAGCCACAAUAUUUCUCAAGAACGACCGUUGGUAUAUAUAAGGCAUGCAUACAAUUUUAAUAACACUCUUUUUGCUCUCAUUUAUCUGUUGGCAUAGAGCAUCGUAUAAUAUAGAAGUGUCAUUCAAACAUAGCUCUUUGAAUAUCGGACAAAAUAUUGGUUGGCUGAUUUAUUUAUAAGAAGAUUCUUCUAUGUAUUUAGUUACAUGAUUUUAAUUUGAUCGUCUUCUUUCAACUUUUUUUUGCCAAGUAUGAUAUUUCCUUAGGUUCACCUUGACCUUCACUGCUCUUGUGUAAGAGCUUAAGUAAAUUGAUCUUGUAUCAUCAGAAUCUGUAGCCUUGCAUAGUUUUUUUUGUCUGUACAUACACUUUAAUUUCUUGCUCGCACUGAAAUCCCUCUUUGUCACAGGAUGAAUCAGAAACUGAAGAUGAUGAUCCCAUGGACACAGAAGAAGCUUCCUCUGUCCUCAUCGCUGCACUGCAGUCUUUCAGCCAAGCUCUGGUGAACUUUGAAAUCCAGUUUAGAGAAUUGCUCAUGACUUGACAGAAAUCAUUCUUAUGAGCACAUCGUUUGAUUCUAUUACUAGGUCAGUCAACUUGAACUACCAUGUGGAAGUGGAACUAUUGUUGUCUGUCAGUUAAGACAGUCGGGAACUUGGUGUUGUCAUUCCUGGCUAUUGUAUUAGGAUACUAGCAGCACUUACAUGCAGAUAUGCUUGUGAUUCUAAAGAUAGUACACAAGGUGAUUGAUGUGUGGGUCGCUCAAGUCCUGUGGGGUGCUGGGCUAAAGGUGUUCCAUAUACAUGAACCAUAAACUGGAAUUGAAAUUAUUCUCCGCACGCACAAGUAAAACCUAUGCAAAGUGAACAAUCUCAUAGUUGCAGCUUAUAUUCAGUACUUCUUCAUUACAAAUGUCGAUUUCAAAGCAUUUUCUUUCUCUAAUUCUGCAACUUUAUAAACUGCAGCUCAGUUUUGCUCACAAAUGUUUUGCUCCUCAUAAAACUAAUUUUCUACUAACUGAUUUCCGUAUUUCCAUUAUAGUUUAUUCAUUACCAUGUUCAAGGAAUUAUCAGCGUUUUUUCUGACUUGGUCAACUUACCCUUGCAGUAAUUUAGCAGUUGAGAUCAAGAUGCUACUCCAAUCUAUAUAUGAAACCAAAUCAGGUGGGCUUGAUGACAAAGAGGUAAUAAGAGAUGAACUCUUCCAGUAUAAAAAGUUGAUGGUCCUAAUUAGUUUAUAGCUUAUUCCUUGAUCACUUUAAUUUACACGACGUCUCCAGGGCCUUUUGUGUUCUUUGGUAAUAUAUUUGAUUAUAGUCACAGCUUACGCAAGAUGAUUAUUUACGUUCCUAAUUUAUCUUCCUCUAUCAUGGUGGUAGGGAAACAUCGCCGUUAGUUUGCCUGAGAUAGAAGGACUUCACAUAAUUUUGUCAAUAGCAUUGAUCAGGACUUUUUUCUUAUUCUUUUCUAUUUGUAGACAAGGAAGAACCAUAGAGAAUCUCGAUCCUUACACUAUAGCAGUACCUGAAGCAGAGCAAACCGCUGUCUCAAAUUUAAUAGUAGAUGGAAAGGAAUGGUUGUUUUUGUUGCAGGUUACUCCAAGAACAAGUGCAUUGUCAAGCUAGAUGUUUUAUAUUAUCCGUCCAUAAUCUGGAUGCUUGUGUAUCCUGCGACUUGGUUCAUCCAGGAGGUAUUUGUGUUCAAACACAAGUGUGGGCUGCUUGCAGGGUAGAGCAUAAUUGGAUUUUAAAGCCAUUUAUAAUGUCCUGCAAAACUAUAAGUUUGAACAAAGAAACCACUUCAACUAGCCUAGGGCUAUGUCUAUUAGUCUUCCAGUAUUUCUUGGAAUGAGAUAACACAUGUUUCUUCAAGUGUCUACACACUACAUGAAUUGUAGGGUUGUACUUUGCCACUCAUAUUGCAGUACUCAACUGUAGCAUGGAUGAAGCAGGAAAGUGUGCUAAACCUUCUAACAUGGACACUGCACUUGUACGAGCUACGGGCCACUAUUGUUUGUCAUAUGAAUUGUACAUGUAGUGGUAAUGUACCACAUUUUUCAUGUAGUAAGGAUGAUACGUUAUACGGAGUAUAACAGUAUGGUUGCCGUGA